GUUAGGGUAUACAGGAGGAAAUGUUUCCCUCUUGACAAAGGGAUUAACGACCGGAGUUGGGGAACAAAGAUUGAUGUGAAUCUUUGCUCUCUUUGGGAUCACCCAAGUUUCUGAUGAAACGCUAACUCUGGAAGCCAAUCCUGAACAUGCUCUGAGAAAUGAGAGGAUUGUAAUGAACUGCCGGACCCCAGCCCAGAUACUGAGAGGACAUAAGCAUUUCGGAUGGUAUCAGAAUAAUGGAUUAAUAAAACAAUCUACAUACGGGUCACUGACCAUAAAAAGUGCAGCGUAUUCAGAUGAAGCAUCUUAUCGGUGUGAUUUAAAAAUUGGCGAUACAAAGUGAGGGUUUCGAACAAACUAAGUAUCACAGUGUUAGGUUGGUCAUCUCUUUGUCUAGUUGGUGCCAAUACAUGUUUUGAUGAUUUUAUGACACGUCUGUCUAAGCUGCUUUUGACUGGACCCUCCCAGUGAUGGGAACUCGAGGGCAGGAGCAGGAAUGUUUCAUCCAUGAUCUUCCAUCCAUCAUAAGGUCAGACGUGGCGAUGCGCAACUAUCAGUGAACAAUGUUUAGCUCCAUUCACUGCUUCUCAGAUACUGAAACAGUCCAUAUCCAAAUGCAAAAAAUUCUGAUUAAUAACCACACAUCUGCUAAGAAGUGACAAGUAACAUUUACGCCACACAAAUGACAGGCAAAGAC